rnacentral:rRNA from 1 species
GACGAACGCUGGCGGCGUGCUUAACACAUGCAAGUCGAACGGAAAGGCCCUGCUUUUGUGGGGUGCUCGAGUGGCGAACGGGUGAGUAACACGUGAGUAACCUGCCCUUGUCUUUGGGAUAUCUUCAGGAAACUGGGGCUAAUACCGGAUAGGAGCUCCUGCUGCAUGGUGGGGGUUGGAAAGUUUCGGCGGUUGGGGAUGGUCUCGCUGCUUUUCAGCUUGUUGGUGGGGUAGUGGCUUACCAAGGCUUUGACGGGUAUCCGGCCUGAGAGGGUGACCGGGGAAAUUGGGACUGAGAGACGGACCAGAAUACAAGGGGAGGCAGAAGGGGGGAAUAGUGCACAAUGGGAGGAAGGCUGAUGAAGCAACGCAGGGAGCGGGAUGACGGCAAAGGGGUUGAAAAAAGAAUUAGAAUGUGACGAAGCGAGAGUGACGGUAAUGGGAAAAGAAGCAACGGCUAACUACGUG